rnacentral:ribozyme from 1 species
AGAACAGAACCUCUGUUGGUUCUUGUUCCACGUUUCCUUUCUUUUUUUUUCUUCUUCUUUUGACUUUAUUUGUAUCUCUUUGUUCUUCCCCAACCAAAUUUCCAUGGGUACAACCGCAACCAAAACGUCAUC